UACGUAGGGGGCUAGCGUUGUCCGGAUUUAUUGGGCGUAAAGAGCGUGUAGGCGGCCAUGUAGGUCCGGUGUGAAAACUCGAGGCUUAACCUCCAGACGUCGACGGAAACCGCGUGGCUAGAGUCCGGAAGAGGAGAGUGGAAUUCCUGGUGUAGCGGUGAAAUGCGCAGAUAUCAGGAAGAACACCCGUGGCGAAAGCGGCUCUCUGGAACGGUACUGACGCUGAGACGCGAAAGCGUGGGGAGCGAACAGG
rnacentral:rRNA from 1 species